AUUGGAAAUUAUCAUUACCAUUUAAUGAGGAUGGUUGGAUAAUAUUUAAUAUACAACAAAUUGGAUAUUAUCGCGUUAACUAUGAUGAAGAGAAUUGGCAAAGAAUUACAAAUUAUCUACACUCCCAUAAUUACAAGAAAAUUCAUGUUCUUAAUCGUGCCCAAAUUAUCGAUGAUGCAUUUAAUUUAAUGAUAGCAGGCCAUCUCCGUUCCUAUAUAUUUUGGAACAUUACAUCGUAUUUGCAUCAAGAAGAAGAUUAUAUAGCAUGGUAUCCUAUGUUUAAAGCUCUGGAAUAUAUAUGUAGUUCUUUUCCAGUGUUGAAAGAAGAAACUAGAUAUUAUACGUCAAGAGUAAAGCACUCAUUACACAAGCUACUUGAAAGAAUCAAAUAUGAAGAAAUUGAUGAUAUAGACGAACUUAGAAUAUGUUUACGACAAGAAGCUACAAGAUGGGCAUGUCUUCUUGAUGACAUCACUUGUAAGAAAAAUGCCAACAUUAAAUUAAAACAACACCUCCAAGAUCUUACAAA